CCCUCGUUCGGUAGGAAGAAACAACCGAACGAGGGGAUUCAUGUGAACCCUCCCUGAUCUCUGUAACCUUAGCCUUUCAUGCAGUUUGUUCCCUUAUACUGUGACCGACCGCAGGGCCCCAUCGCAUGGAACCCAAUUCGGCUGUUCUCUCCAGCGCGGUCGGUCUUUUCAUUACCUCCACAAAUUUCCCGAACCCCUGGUCCGAUCUGGG